rnacentral:rRNA from 1 species
UACAGAGGUGGCAAGCGUUGUUCGGAAUCACUGGGCGUAAAGGGCGCGUAGGCGGCCAUCUAAGUCAGACGUGAAAUCCCCCGGCUUAACCUGGGAACUGCGUCUGAUACUGGACGGCUUGAGUAUGGGAGAGGGAUGUAGAAUUCCAGGUGUAGCGGUGAAAUGCGUAGAUAUCAGGAAGAACACCCGUGGCGAAGGCGGCUCUCUGGGACGGUACGGACGCUGAGACGCGAAAGCGUGGGGAGCGAACAGG